rnacentral:rRNA from 1 species
AGACGGGGGGUGCUAGCGUUGUUUGGAAUUACUGGGCGUAAAGGGCGCGUAGGCGGCUCUGCGAGUCGGGCGUGAAAUCCCGGGGCUCAACCCCGGAACGGCGCUCGAUACUGCGGGGCUGGAGACCGGAAGAGGAGGGUGGAAUUCCCAGUGUAGAGGUGAAAUUCGUAGAUAUUGGGAGGAACACCGGUGGCGAAAGCGGCUCUCUGGUCCGGUUCUGACGCUGAGGCGCGAAAGCGUGGGGAGCAAACAGGAUUAGAAACCCUAGUAGUCC